rnacentral:rRNA from 1 species
UACGAAGGGGGCUAGCGUUGCUCGGAAUGACUGGGCGUAAAGGGCGCGUAGGCGGCUCAUACAGUCAGAUGUGAAAUUCCUGGGCUUAACCUGGGGGCUGCAUUUGAUACGUGUGGGCUUGAGUGGGGAAGAGGGUCGUGGAAUUCCCAGUGUAGAGGUGAAAUUCGUAGAUAUUGGGAAGAACACCGGUGGCGAAGGCGGCGAGCUGGUCCUUGACUGACGCUGAGGCGCGAAAGCGUGGGGAGCGAACAGG